UCCCUGAUGGUCCAGUGGUUAGGACACUGUGCUCCCAAUGCAGGGGCCCCAGGUUUAAUUCCUAGUCAGGGAA